UGCAGGGAGGCGCCAUAAACUACGAAACUGGGGAAGAUGUUCAAAGUGUUUUUGGUCCAUAUUUCUUUGACGAUGGGUCAAAUAACUUGAAACAUGACAAGGAAGGGCUCCUAUCUAUGCCCAGAAGAGACUUCAGAGAUUGCCGUUCUCACUUUUUGAUCACAUUGAGAGCUGAUGAGAGCCUUGA